rnacentral:lncRNA from 1 species
AUGAAUUGCCAGCCUACAGUUUUCCAAAUUACUCCUCCAACAGUGAUGCCCAUAGAAGCCCUAGAUGUAAGAGAAGCUAAUCCUGUUAUGAAGCAAAGGCCAACUCAAGGACACUUCUCACCCAGCACUCCCGACCCAGACAAGGAUAGAGUCAAGGCCGCUGCAAAGACAGUUUGCUCCCACCACUGUGAGACGUCCAACACGGCACAGCUCCUGACUCAACUCCAGGGAGUCCCCCCG